UUGGAGGAAAGCAGGGGAUCGUAAGACCUUGCGCUUUUGGAGUGGCCGAUGCCUGAUUAGCUAGUUGGUGGGGUAAGAGCCUACCAAGGCGACGAUCAGUAGUUGGUCUGAGAGGACGACCAGCCACACUGGGACUGAGACACGGCCCAGACUCCUACGGGAGGCAGCAGUGGGGAAUUUUGGACAAUGGGCGAAAGCCUGAUCCAGCAAUGCCGCGUGAGUGAAGAAGGCCUUCGGGUUGUAAAGCUCUUUCAGUCGAGAAGAAAAGGUCGCGACUAAUAAUCGCGACUCAUGACGGUAUCGACAGAAGAAGCACCGGCUAACUACGUGCCAGCAGCCGCGGUAGUACGUAGGGUGCGAGCGUUAAUCGGAAUUACUGGGCGUAAAGGGUGCGCAGGCGGCUUUGUAAGUCAGAUGUGA
rnacentral:rRNA from 1 species